rnacentral:siRNA from 1 species
GCCUAGAAUGUUGGUUCGC